rnacentral:rRNA from 1 species
UACGUAGGGUGCGAGCGUUAAUCGGAAUUACUGGGCGUAAAGCGUGCGCAGGCGGCCAACUAAGUCGGACGUGAAAUCCCUCAGCUUAAACUGGGGGAACUGCGUCCGAUACUGGAUGGCUUGAUUUUGGGGAGAGGGGGAUGCGGAAUUCCAGGUUGUAGCGGGUGAAAAUGCGUUAGAUAUCUGGAGGAACACCGGGUGGGCGAAAGGCGGCAUCCUGGGACCCA